ACAGGUGACUGAUGCCCGAUGAGAAGGUGAACGUGACAUAUACCUUUCUCAGCUUCAAGAAAGGAACCACGAGACAGGUGACUGAUGCCCGAUGAGAAGGUGAACGUGACAUGUACCUUUGUCAGCUUCAAGAAAGGAACCACGAGACAGGUGACUGAUGCCCGAUGAGAAGGUGAAAGUGACAUAUACCUUUCUCAGCUUCAAGAAAGGAACCACGAGACAGGUAAUUAAU